AUUCACAGGCAGUUGGUUAUGCCAAAAGAAGUAGGAGUUAAUAUCUGCAUUUUACUGCUGAUAAAAUUCACUCAAAAAAUUACAACCUAACCAAGACGAAGACUCUAGCAAGGUUAGAAGAGAAACGUGACUCCACAUCUGUUGGGCUCCAGAGCCUGCAGAUGAGGUUGCUUUAGUGAUUAAGGGAGCUGGAGUUCCUUCUAGCCAAGGACUUAAGGUUCUUACGAGUCCUUGAAAAUGAGUCAGUGGUGGAAUGUUUUAGACAGUGGGAACUUAUAUGUGCAAAGUUUUGGAAAUCAGAAAUACCAGAUACAUUUCUGAGAAGGCCGGUCCUCCAUACCAAAACAUUCUUCCCUCCAGUUUUCAGUGAGAAGACUGAGCAGGGUGGAGACGAAAAGCAAUAGCUUACAGCUGGAGAAGUAGUUUGGGACUCAUCUCCGCUUAGACUGACCCCAGCUGAAACUACAGCUCAAGAGGUAUGAGGAAUCAGUGGGUCGGGAGCAGGUGGCCCACUGGCUGAAGGUGCGACGCUGCUGCUGUCCAGUCCCAGGCUUGUCACCAGCCUCACCCAAGAGCACUCCCUGAGCUGUGUGUGCGUGAUGUCUGACACUGAAACCCACAACACGCAUUCUCCCACUGCUCAUCCCCGACUCUACAGAGCAUCAAGCUAUUGCCUUGUUAUCCUCUUCCCAGACUUGCCACACAAACAGCAUGCCCUCUGCCCUGCUUCACUCCGGGGUAAAAGGGUUGUUUUCAAACUCUUCACGUUGUCUGACUUCAUACCCAGCACAUCCUCUAAGACCUGCAAUGACUGCUUCUCAAUUCUUACUGUUUUUUGUCACUUUUCUUUCAAUCCGAUUCAAAAAAUGUUUACCCAGCUCCAUGCCAAAUCCAGGAACUAUGCUAAGAAUUGGAAUUUAAAAGAAAAUAAGGCAUGAACCCUAUUCUCAGGGAAGUCACAGUCUAAUGAGGAAGAACAUCACACAGUACAUCACAUUAAUACAGGACUGUGAGCACAACAGAAGAAUUAAGCACCUGCCAGGGCAGAGGGGAUGUGGAGGAAGGGAGCCUGGGGAAUGAUGGCUGGUAGUGACUGAUAGUGAUAAUUGCUUUCAAUACACAAUGUGUUUAUGCUAGAUAACACUGAAUCAGCGUAAAUAAAACAAGUGCUGUAUUAUGAGGGGAAAUUAAUGGAACCAUAACCAAGUUAGGACACUAAGCCAAUUCUGCAAAUCUUUAACAGAUCAAAUAGCCAAGAAUAAAUGGGUUAUAGGGAAACUGAAUAAUACAGUAAAUAAAGUUUAUUUGCUAGAUGUAUAUAUUUUAUACUUCACAGUCUUUUUAAAUGGCCGUAGGAUAUUGGAAACAAAAUAAAACAUAUUACAUUCUAGACACACACAGACCCUUAACACAGCCUAAAAGCUGAAAUUAUAUUAAAAUAAAACAUAA
rnacentral:lncRNA from 1 species